GAUGAACGCUAGCGGCAGGCUUAACACAUGCAAGUCGAACGGUAACAUGAAAGCUUGCUUUUGAUGACGAGUGGCGCACGGGUGCGUAACGCGUAUGCAAUCUACCCUUUACUGGAGAAUAGCCCUUGGAAACGAGGAAUAGUACUCCAUAGUAUAACAAUUUCGCAUGUUAUUGUUAUUAGAGCUUCGGCGGUAGAGGAUGAGCAUGCGUCCCAUUAGUUAGUUGGUAAGGUAACGGCUUACCAAGACUCCGAUGGGUAGGGGGCCUGAGAGGGUUAUCCCCCACACUGGUACUGAGACACGGACCAG
rnacentral:rRNA from 1 species